GCAGCAACGCCGCGUGGGUGAAGAAGGCCUUCGGGUCGUAAAGCUCUGUCAAGUGGGAAGAAUAGCCUUAAGGGGAAUAUCCUUGGGGUAUGACGGUACCACUGGAGGAAGCACCGGCUAACUCCGUGCCAGCAGCCGCGGUAAUA
rnacentral:rRNA from 1 species